UCAGCGUCCAAAGCCUUCCACGCCUGAUUUCAAGCCUCCCAAUGCGUUCACAUCAGCAUUUCCUCCUCCGUUUCAGCAUCACCAACGCAUGCAAUCUCCCGUGAUCCCAACCUCCAUCACGUUCGUAAUCAACCCCCUUUCCGAAUCAGCGCCCCUCAAGCGUGAUCCAAGCAUCGCAUCCGGCCGCCCAUUUCAAAGAUCUCCAGCUUCAUCCCCUGCGGAAACAGGGGAGAAGAAAGGAUCUCACGCCCGUCUGACUGCAAGCGUGAUCCAAGCAUCGCGCCCAUCCUUCCGGAUUCCAUCCGCGACCUAGCCGCUCGUGAAGCCUCGUUGAUUGCGUCUGUCCUCUUCACGCUCCCGGCUCCUCCCAGUGAUCCCGCGGCCAAUCGUGAAGCAUCCCGUUCCCAGAUCCAAUCCGGAUUAUUCUCCUUCAUCCAGCCAUUCCGAAACUCCUCCACCUCUUCUUCCACCUGUAUCGCGUUCGUUACCUCUUCGUGCGGGAUCCCAGCAGCUACAAGGAGCCCUUGAUCCAGCGAUUUUUCCUCGCAGUCACCGGACGAUCCAGCCUCCUCCGUGUCCGAACUCCACGGAUCACGCUGCAGUCAAGCCUCCGAGUCCGCCUCUGCCUUGAUCAAGCAUCCAAUCAUGCAUCCGAUUCCUUCCUUCCGUGAUCCCAAGCAUCCUCCCCCUCCUUCCAGGGGGUUGAUCUAUAAAAGGAGAGGGAG
rnacentral:lncRNA from 1 species